UACGGAGGGUGCGAGCGUUGUCCGGAAUCACUGGGCGUAAAGGGCGCGUAGGUGGCCCGUUAAGUGGCUGGUGAAAUCCCGCGGCUCAACUGCGGGGCUGCCGGUCAUACUGGCGAGCUAGAGCACGGUAGGGGCAGGUGGAAUUCCGGGUGUAGCGGUGGAAUGCGUAGAGAUCCGGAAGAACACCGGUGGCGAAGGCGGCCUGCUGGGCAGUAGCUGACGCUGAGGCGCGACAGCGUGGGGAGCAAACAGG
rnacentral:rRNA from 1 species